CUCUCCCCCUAGAAAAACCCUAGCACUCCUGAUCCAGAUCCCUCCCCUCCCCUCGCCGCCAUCCACCGCCGCUCGCCGCCGGCCUCGACCCCCUCCCCCUGCCCUCCGAACACUGUCGCAGGCCAGAUCCACCGCAGCCCCCUCCCUGCCGCCUCCUCCUUCCUCCAGUACCACAUCUCCAACCUUGCCUCUCGCUUCGCCGCCACGCGCCCCGCGCCCGCUGAGGCGCACCCGCCGGGGGCCCAUGGCGUUGCCCAGUCCUCCGCUGGCCUCCUCACCGGCUUCUAGUUCGCCAGCUGUGAGCAGAUCAGGCCGCGCACAGCAGACAUGGAGGAGGACGCAGCCGCGGCUGCGGCGCCGGACUCGUGGGAGACGGGGCCAUGAGCCGCCUGCUCCUCUCCUCCUCCACCUCCUUGGCCUCCCCCGCCACGCGCCGGGUCUGCUCCUCGCCCGACCUUGCCGACGACCACCAGGCCGCGGACGCGCAGCAGGAGCAGGACCCCGCACGCGGGACAAUCCAGCCGCGCAGGUCGACCAGUUCCUCCGCAAGGCCCUCGAGAAGCCCCGCGAACGCCUCCAAGGAUCGUGAUUUGGUGGUCGAGCCUAUGUCAACCACUGGUUCCACUCAGCCGAGCAGGCCAGACAUAAGGCCCUUGUUCUGAACCUGCUUUUGUUGAUCGGUUGCCAUCAGGGGCGAGUUCUGCAAGGAGUUCAAGCAGAAGAACCCCAAGAACAAGUCUGUCGCUGUUGUAGGCAAAGCAGCCGGUGGGAGGUGGAAGAGCUUGAGCGAGUCGAUCCUGGUGUACCAGCUUUGCAAGGCGUUGCUUUUUGCCACGAACGUGGUGUCCGGCACCAUGACCUUGAGCCACACAACCUGCAAAUUGGUGGAUGGGUUGGUAUCCUCUGGUUUGAUCCCAGCAAGAGGAAGUGUUCUCUUCUCUUUAUCAACCAAAGGCACUUUCUUCUCUCAUGGAUGGAUGGGACUCCAUCAAUUUAGUACCAGUUUAGGUGUUAGUAUUCUGUUGAUGCUUGUGUUGAUGCCAUGCUUUUUGUCUUGUCAUGUGCUGAUAUUAACUGGCAACAUCAGCUCUCAUGAUUGCUUGCUUGCUUGCUUACUCUAUAACCUGUACUGCUAAAACAUGUUAUUCUACUCCAUGAUGCUAUAUCAUUUGCAAAUACUCCUGGACAUCAGCUCCCAUGAUGUUGCAUUAGCUAUAACCUGUACUUCUAAAAGAGGAGUUUAAACUAGAGUAAUUUUUCAGCCAUUAUCUUUUUUUCUUUUGGGCGGAUGCUCUCCACUGGAGUACAGUUGGGUACUGCAUCUCUUUUUGCAUUCCUUUUUCAGUCAGUGCUUGAAUAUUUUUUUUAAAGAUGAAUUGGAAUACUCCUGGACAGCAGUACAUGGAGUAUAGCUGUAACUAGUACAUGAUUGAUGGAGUAUAGUAGUCCAUUAGGAGUAUAGCUGGACUAUGCUCUCGGUACACUGCAAAGAAUUUCCCUGUACAAUCCUGAUGGGAUUAUGUAUAUGAUCAUGUCCUGUAGAAUUGAAUUUCUUUGGCUGUUCUGUAAACUGAAUUUGGUUCGGUUAAAAAAUGGCACUACCUGACAGUUUUGGGCAGCGAGCUUCUAACUGAUAAAUGAGUUCGUUAUGCUCAUAAUUUCAAGUUGGCCUCUACAUAUGAGUUGUAAAGCAUGUUCUAAGGUUUCUGUAGAGUACUUAUUUGCUUCGUUUGGAUGUACCUUUUGAGAGUAACUAUCUAUUUAGUUUGUUGUCCAGAAAUAUAGUACAGUUUGUAAAAGCAACCAAUUCAUGAUAAGACUUGGUGAGGCUGAUGCACAUAGCUACUUUCAGUACAUUGUAACAGUGUUGAUUGUUGGACAAGCUAAAUCAUGUGUCUUGCUCAUUUAAUAUAAACAUUAUGUAGAGCUCUGUUUCUUCUUCUUUUGCGUCCUAUAUGUAUGUGUCUGACGACGAAGGUGGUUUCUUCAGAAUUGAUCGAGUCUGACAAAGUCGUUCUUGGUACUUUAGUAUUUUUCUUGUUAUCUGCAGCUAGUUGUAUAUGUGGUGCAAUUGUGCAGAGCUACUAGUCGUGCUUGGUACUUUAGUAUUUUGCUUUCCUCUGUAUUGGGUAUAUUAUUUUCUGCUACUAAUCGAUGAAUGCAAUAAUUAAAGAGAACCAAACUACUUCUAUUGAUUUCCGCUACAUCGUUUCUACCUGUUUGUGUGUAAAACCAUUCUUAAGCCUGAAUGGUACUUUUCUUGUUUUUGUCAAUUUUGUUCCUAUGAAAAGUCUUCUCUCUUUAGCUCAUGCUCGUUACCUCCUCCCCUCAUGUUUCACAGGAAGAUGAUAAACCUUUUUAAGAUCAAGGGGCAGAAGAAGGAAGAGGCGGCCAACUCAAAUGGGGGGCCUCCUGUUAAGCAAAGUCCAGAUGUCCUUUGUUCAUUGAAGUGCUGACUACUGCAACAAGUCCCAUGAUGAAGAAGCUAGAAUUCGCACCCAGCAAAGAGAACCUCAUUGGAGCUUGUUAUUGUUUGAUCUUUUUGUGUAUUAGAAAACUGGAUACUAUGUACUAGUUACUAAAGGGAAACAAAGAGUUUGCAUUGCAAACUCGGCGGGACCGAUCGCUCAUUUUGGUGAGACCGAAAUGUUACGAAGGGAGACAGAGAGUUUACAAUCCCAUCUCGGUGAGACUGAGAUCCCUGUCGGUGAGACCGAAGUGAUUAGGGUUUGUGGCUAUGGCUAUGUCAGAUGAACUCGGUGGCGCCGGAUAGAUCAAUACGGUGGGGCCGAGUUUGACUUUUACGUUUAGGACAAAUAUGGAAGUGGGAAAGUGGUUGAGGGUUUUGGAGCAUAUCACUAAGCAUUUUGAGCAAGCAAGACAUUAAGCAACACCUCAUCCCCUUUUAAUAGUAUUGGCUUUCCGAUGGAUUCAAUGUGAUCUUGGAC